UACGUAGGGGGGCUAGCGUUGUCCGGAUUUAUUGGGCGUAAAGAGCGUGUAGGCGGCCAGGUAGGUCCGGUGUGAAAACUCGAGGCUUAACCUCGAGAUGUCAUCGGAAACCAUCUGGCUAGAGUCCGGAAGAGGAAAGUGGAAUUCCUGUGUAGCGGUGAAAUGCGCAGAUAUCAGGAAGAACACCAAUGGCGAAAGCAGCUUUCUGGGACGGUACUGACGCUGAGACGCGAAAGCGUGGGGGAGCGAACAGG
rnacentral:rRNA from 1 species